GAGGGACGGCGUGAGGGAUCUCCUCCAUCGCCAACGCGGCGAUGGUGUUUGGAGAUCGAAGGGGUCGGGAUGGAACGGACCCCAAGGGAUUGAUAAGGGGCAAAGGGAUUGAUAGGAGAUCAAGGGAUUGAUCAGGGGGCCAAGGGAUUGGUAAGGGAUGAGAGGACUGAUAAUGGUCAAAGGGAUUGAUAAGGGGCCAAGGGAUUGAUAAGGGAUGAGAGGACUGAUAAUGGUCAAAGAGAUUGACAAGGGUCCAAGGGAUUGAUUAGGGGGCCAAGGGAUUGAUAAGAGAUCAAGGAAUUGAUAAGGAAGCCGAAGGAUUGAUAAGGGUCAAAGGGAUUGAUAAGGGGGCCAAAGGAUUGACAAGAGAUCAAGAGAUUGAUAAGGGAUCAGAGGACUGAUAAGGGAUCCAGGGGUAGAAGGGUCCUUGCAGGUUAACCAGGGAGUGGUUGGGUUGGAAGGGUCCUUGAAGAUCGCCCUCAGAACCACGCGAUCAUAGAAAUGGGGUUGAAGGGUCCGUGUGUGGGACCCGAUGGCCUUUCCAGGUUCCCUCCGCCUCAGUCCAUUCUGUGAUCCGAUGAUUCCCAUCAUCUGCGCGGACUGAGCUGACAGAGCAAACGCUGCAGAGCUUUAUGGAGCUUCAAAAGGUCAAAAUCCCUCCAGGGUACUCACAAAGACACUCCGGCAAUCUGCCUCAAAAGCAGAGCAGCAAAUUGCAAUGGAUGAAAGAGUCGAGAGCUUCAGAUUUGGGGAACCCAGGGGAAAACAAAAAACAAAAAAACAAACAACAACCCCAAAUCUCAUUUGUAAAACCCCAGGAUAAAGCAUUUAUCCCCAAAUUCUCCGGGACACAACGAUGGGAUCCACAUUCUGGGAUUGUUUUGGUCAAUCCAGGAGACGUCGGCCGGGUGCAGUUGUUUUCCUGCCCACAUUCUGCCCUCACUUCAGGGACAGCCCCUCCUGGAAGAUGUCUUCUCUGCCAGAUCAGCUCCCCAAAGUCCCCAGUGAAGCCUCAAACACAAAAUAUCCCCCCAUUCAAAACAAAUCUGCCUCCUGCUCACCGCUCUGCUCCCAAAACCCUUCACCGACUUCAGAGUUUGGGCCGACACACAUUCAAGCUUACAAAUUUGACAGGGGGAAGGGGAGGGAAACCUAUUUACUGCUCAUUGGCCGUGAAUAUUUGAUUGCCAACAGCGUCCGCCUGCAGUCGUGAUCUCCCCACCGCUGAGAAGAACAUAUCCCACAUUUAUGAAUGGGCCCCGGAUUUGUGAAUGGCAUUUGGUACUGCUGAGAAGAACUCAUCCCACAUUUAUGAAUGGGCCCCGGAUUUGUGAAUGGCAUUUGGUACUGCGGAGAAGAACUCAUCACACAUUUAUGAAUGGGCACUGAAGUUGUGAAUGGCGCACGGCACCGCUGAGCAGAACACGUCUCGCAUUUAUGAAUGGGCACUGAAGUUGUGAAUGGCAGAACAGAAUCACAACAGCACCGCUCUCCAUUUUAGGAACAAAGUGCCCCCCCCCC